rnacentral:lncRNA from 1 species
AUCUUUUACACAGAGCCACAUUCUAACCUGGAAGUGGAAGUGUGAUCUUGUAAUUACUACUCUAAUGUCUUCUCCUCUCCCCAAAUGCCCUGUGUUCUCCCAAAGCUUGAUCAAAAAUCCACCAGGGGAGGUGAGAGAGUCUAAGAAGACAGGUGGGAAAGAGUCUUUGGAGCCAGAGAAAUUGGACAGAGGAUUGUGUGGAGAAUGAGGCAAUGACAGACUCAAGUCCUUAGGAAAGCUGGAGCAGGACAGUUGUUCAGAGGAUGCACACAGAUGGACAGCAGCGAGGACUCUGGGACCCGGGCCUCAUAAAGCCUUCUCCUUCCUGUCCAUGCACACAGCUCACACUCACAAUAGCAAGGAACCUUUGUGCUCCGGGAAAGGAGAGAUCAACAGCUAAGCAUGGGGAAGGACCACAGAAAGAAGGAAGGGCGGAGUGGACCUGGGAUCCGACCUCAACUGCAACCGCAGCUGCCCUGCAGCAGGAGGUCCUAGGUGAAAGAAGGUGCACAAGGUCGCGUGGCCACGCCCACAAGCUACGGAGAAAAUGGAACCGGAAGCCCAGUUCCAGGAUCUUCUGA